rnacentral:rRNA from 1 species
UACGAAGGGGGGCUAGCGUUGCUCGGAAUCACUGGGCGUAAAGGGUGUGUAGGCGGGUCUUUAAGUCAGGGGUGAAAUCCUGGAGCUCAACUCCAGAACUGCCUUUGAUACUGAGGAUCUUGAGUUCGGGAGAGGUGAGUGGAACUGCGAGUGUAGAGGUGAAAUUCGUAGAUAUUCGCAAGAACACCAGUGGCGAAGGCGGCUCACUGGCCCGAUACUGACGCUGAGGCACGAAAGCGUGGGGAGCAAACAAGG